rnacentral:antisense_RNA from 1 species
CUUGAUGGUGGCUGUGCGCAGGGCGCCCUCGUGGCGCGCCGGGUUUUGUGAGGGUCUACCGGUCUACUAACCUGCGUGCAGCCGCCACCCUU